rnacentral:misc_RNA from 1 species
UUGGGGAGGUCAGCUAAGGUAUGGGGGAGCGUACCAGUAAGGUAAUUCUGAGCGAGAUCGAGGUGUUGUAGAUGCUGGCAGGAGGAAAUGUCAAGAGGGAGAUUAUCAUUAACUUAUUGUAGAAGGAAAUGGAAGUGAGGUUCUGGAGGCGGCAGAGGAGUGAAGGAAAUGGGCCGCCUAUGUUGGAGUUGGAAAGGUCGAUGGAAGUGACGGAGUUGGUUUUAGGGUCGCAGCUGACGCCGAACCAUGAACAAGGGGUGGUGUCGCGGUCGGACCAGGAGGAGAGGGUGGAGUCAGCGUCAGAGAGAGAGAGCUUGACUUGGUGGAGGUAGAGACCUUCUUGGUUGAGAGAAAAGGAGGGGGAAGGAGAGAGCAGGAAAAGGAAAGGAAGGAGAAAGAGAAGCAUAGCUGUUAUUGUCUG